GACGAACGCUGGCGGCGUGCUUAACACAUGCAAGUCGAACGAAGUGGAGCACGGGUGAGUAACGCGUAAUCAACCUGCCCUUCAGAGGGGGACAACAGUUGGAAACGACUGCUAAUACCGCAUACUGAAGGAGGGGAUUGAGUCUGAUUAGCUAGAUGGAGGGGUAACGUCCGACAAAGGCGAUGAUCAGUAGCCGUUCUAAGAGUAUGGACGGCGACAAUGGGACUGAGACACGGCCCAGACUCAGACGUGAGGCAGCAGUGGGGACUCUUCCGCAAUUGACGAAAGUCUGACGGAGCAACGCCGCGUGAGUGAUGACGGCCUUCGGGUUGUAAAGCUCUGUUAAUCGGGACGCGGUACCGGAAUAGAAAGCCACGGCUGACUACGUGCCAGCAGCCGCGGUAAUAC
rnacentral:rRNA from 1 species